rnacentral:rRNA from 1 species
UACGGAGGGAGCUAGCGUUGUUCGGAAUUACUGGGCGUAAAGCGCACGUAGGCGGCUAUUCAAGUCGGGGGUGAAAGCCCGGGGCUCAACCCCGGAACUGCCCUCGAAACUAGAUAGCUAGAAUCUUGGAGAGGCGAGUGGAAUUCCGAGUGUAGAGGUGAAAUUCGUAGAUAUUCGGAAGGACACCAGUGGCGAAGGCGACUCGCUGGACACAUAUUGACGCUGAGGUGCGAAAGCGUGGGGAGCAAACAGG